rnacentral:lncRNA from 1 species
UUGUAGAGGACGUUAAACCGAGCGCGUGCAUAUGUGGUACGUAAAAAUCGGAGUUCGUAUGCAAAAGUUAUAAGCGAAAUACUAAAGUUACUGUUCAUAUAGUAAGUUUCUAUAAAUAGCCGAGUUACUGUGGUAAGUUUCCAUUUUCGGAAACUUACCGAGAGCUCUCUUCUCUCUCCCCGAUUCUCUCUUCCUCUCCGACCUCUUCACCUUCUUCCGGCGAUAUCUCCUCCAUCCGGCGACGGAUUUUGACGUCAAUGAGAAGAAGAGGACGGUCACUGUAGCCGAACGGAGGUUUCAUCGAUUUCCGGCGAUUCCGGCCACCUCCGGUCCCCAUUUCGCCAUCGAAGGGCAAUGUCGCGAGCUACGGUUAGAUGAAGGAACUCGUUUGCGUGGUUGCCAAUAGUACUUUUGCAGGCGAAUUAGUGGAGGUCGGGCGUACAUGACAUUUGAGGCAUAGUUGUCACUACUUCCGCAGUG